CAGGGAGCACAGAGGGCUCCGGGACUGCAGCUCUGCCAGGCCUUGGAACCAAUUCCAGAACCUCCACUUUUGCCACAGCUGCAAUGAAGACCACUAGGACUGCCGGAGACUGCCGGGAGCCAGCAGGGAGAAGCCGAGGGCCAGCAGCAGGAGCAGGGAGCGGGGCCCUGCUGCUGCCGGCCUGGAGAGAGCCCGGAUGUCCCAUCUGCUGUCCCUGUGCAGGAGAGCUGCUCUGCCCGGGGGGAAGAGGCCGCAGGAGAGGCUUUGAAGAUGGGGCAGCUGGGGUCCCUUUUCUUCCUGUUAUAUAUCUGUUCAUAUAUAUAGUGUAUAUUAUGUAAUAUUUAAUUUCUGUUUACAUAUGUAGAUUGUUAUAUAGGUAUUUAUAUAUAUAACAAUAUAUAUUUUUUAUAUAUAUAAAUAUUUCUGUGUGUGUGUGUUUAGUACUAUUUAAACAUGUAUGGAGUCAUAUAGUUGUACAGUUGUAUCGAUAAGGUUCUAGGUACAAGGUUCCUUGGGGAGGGAAUGCAGCGGCGACAGCUAGCCUCUAAGACUCUGACUCCCGGGCACGCUCCGGCCGCGCCGCCGGCAGCACUGAGGGGGGAAGGGCACUCUCCCCCUGGGAGACUUCCUAGGGAGAGUGCUUAAGGCUGAAUGCCUUCAGAAGGGCGAGAACCCCCAGAGCCGUUGGAAGAGGAGCUGGGCUGCGACCCACAGGAGAAAGACCGGACCGCGCCGACAGGGAAAACGGGAGGGUUUAUUGAAAGUGCGUCGGGCGCGGACAAAAUGCUUGCCCGGCAGGGCCUUAUAAACAGAAUACAAUGACCAAUCUAAAUUUUUGAGAGGAGGGAAUAACGCGUAACAAACAUCUCGGAUCUCCAGUGGGAAUAAACUGAGGGUUGAACCCUGACCUCUGGUCCAAUCACUCAGUGUCCAAGACAGAAGGUUCUGGAUGGAAGGGUAUGGACACUGAAUAACAGACAGGCAGCCAGGGAGGGAUUAGGAGAGAUAACUCUAACUGACGGGACAAUCAAGGAGAGGGAGAGAGAGAGAGCCCGGGCAAAACCAUAAACAGGAAUGGGGGGUACAGGAAUAAACCAACUUAAAACUAAUGCACCCCUACAAGGGAAUGCAUAUUUUUGUAUUUCUAUAUGGGCUGUACACUUGUAGUAAUAUGUAAUAAAUUAGGUUGUUAAAGUCCUAAUUGAUCUUUGUAUCUAGUGAGUUGUAGAGGCUGGCAAUAAAUUAGGUUUUGUUAACUGAAGUUGGUAUUUUUAUAUUUUUACAUAGACUGGUUGUAGUAAUCUAAUAAAUUCUUGUUCUUAAUCCAAA